GCAAGACCGUGAGGUGGAGCAAAACUUAUAAAACCUAUCUCAGUUCGGAUUGUAGGCUGCAACUCGCCUACAUGAAGCUGGAGUUGCUAGUAAUCGCGAAUCAGAAUGUCGCGGUGAAUACGUUCCCGGGCCUUGUACACACCGCCCGUCACACCAUGAGAGCUGGUAACACCCGAAGUCCGUGAGGUAACCGUAAGGAACCAGCGGCCGAAGGUGGGAUUAGUGAUUGGGGUGAAGUCGUAACAAGGUAGCCGUAGGAGAACCUGCGGCUGGAUCACCUCCUUUCUAAGGAGA
rnacentral:rRNA from 1 species